rnacentral:rRNA from 1 species
GUAGGGUCCGAGCGUUAUCCGGAAUCAUUGGGCGUAAAGAGCUCGUAGGCGGUUCAGCAAGUCGGCUGUGAAAGUUCGAGGCUCAACCUCGAAAUUGCAGUCGAUACUGCUGUGACUCGAGUCCGGUAGAGGAGAAUGGAAUUCCCGGUGUAGCGGUGAAAUGCGCAGAUAUCGGGAGGAACACCAGUAGCGAAGGCGGUUCUCUGGGCCGGCACUGACGCUGAGGAGCGAAAGCGUGGGGGGAGCAGACAGGAUUAGAUACCCUGGUAGUCCACGCCCGUAAACGUUGGAUGCUAGGUGUGGCGGUCUACCAACGACUGCCGUGCCGAAGCUAACGCAUUAAGCAUCCCGCCUGGGGAGUACGGCCGCAAGGCUA